rnacentral:lncRNA from 1 species
UGCUUAAGGAGGGAACGGAUCCAGAUCGUCCAUACGCACGGAAACGCUUCCGGGCUGUCCGAUCACAGGCACUUGGAUUGUCAGUGUGGCCUCUAGCGUGGCAUUGAGUCAACGUCCCUUGCCACGUGGCGUGCUCCAGUUCGUCGGGGCUGCUGAUUGGACGAUCUUACGUAGUGCAAUUUUUCUUAAUUAUAUUUUGACCCUCGAUUUUUAU